AGCGAACGCCNUGCGGCAUGCUUAACACAUGCAAGUCGCACGGGCAGGGGCAACCCUGUCAGUGGCGGACGGGUGAGUAACGCGUAGGUAUCUAUCCUUGGGUGGGGGACAACUGUGGGAAACUACAGCUAAUACCGCAUGAUGACCGAGGUCCAAAGCUCGCGAGAGCGCCUGGGGAGGAGCCUGCGUACGAUUAGCUAGUUGGUGGGGUAAAGGCCUACCAAGGCGACGAUCGUUAGCUGGUCUGAGAGGAUGAUCAGCCACAUUGGGACUGAGACACGGCCCAAACUCCUACGGGAGGCAGCAGUGGGGAAUAUUGGACAAUGGGCGAAAGCCUGAUCCAGCAAUGCCGCGUGUGUGAAGAAGGUCUUCGGAUUGUAAAGCACUUUCGACGGGGACGAUGAUGACGGUACCCGUAGAAGAAGCCCCGGCUAACUUCGUGCCAGCAGCCGCGGUAAUACGAAGGGGGCUAGCGUUGCUCGGAAUGACUGGGCGUAAAGGGCGCGUAGGCGGAUGGCACAGUCAGAUGUGAAAUUCCCGGGCUUAACCUGGGGGCUGCAUUUGAUACGUGUUGUCUAGAGUGAGGAAGAGGGUUGUGGAAUUCCCAGUGUAGAGGUGAAAUUCGUAGAUAUUGGGAAGAACACCGGUGGCGAAGGCGGCAACCUGGUCCUUGACUGACGCUGAGGCGCGAAAGCGUGGGGAGCAAACAGGAUUAGAUACCCUGGUAGUCCACGCUGUAAACGAUGUGUGCUGGAUGUUGGGCGACCUAGUCGCUCAGUGUCGUAGCUAACGCGAUAAGCACACCGCCUGGGGAGUACGGCCGCAAGGUG
rnacentral:rRNA from 1 species